rnacentral:tRNA from 1 species
GAGGGUACAGCUCAAGUGGUAGAGAACGUGCCUGAUAAGCAUGAGGUCCUGGGUUCAAUCCCAGUACCUCCU